rnacentral:rRNA from 1 species
CCUACGGGUGGCAGCAGUGAGGAAUAUUGGUCAAUGGACGAGAGUCUGAACCAGCCAAGUAGCGUGAAGGAUGACUGCCCUAUGGGUUGUAACCUUCUUUUAUAUGGGAAUAAAAUGUUCCACGUGUGGGACUUUGUAUGUACCAUAUGAAUAAGGAUCGGCUAACUCCGUGCCAGCAGCCGCGGUAAUACGGAGGAUCCGAGCGUUAACCGGAUUUAUUGGGUGUAAAGGGUGCGGAGGUGGAUUGUUAAGUCAGUGGUGAAAGUUUGCGGCUUAACCGUAAAAUUGCAGUUGAAACUGGCAGUCUAGAGUACAGUAGUGGGAGGCGGAAUGCGUGGUGUAGCGGUGAAAUGCUUAGAUAUCACGAAGAACUCCGAUUGCGAAGGCAGUUCACUGGACUGCAACUGACACUGAGGCUCGAAAGUGUGGGUAGCAAACAGGAUUAGAUACCCCUGUAGUC